rfam:Alkaliphilus oremlandii OhILAs, complete genome.
CUGUGCUAGACGGGGAGGUAGCGGUGCCUCGUAACCUGCAAUCCGCUAUAGCAGGGUUGAAAUCCUCUUGGAGGCUUGUACUUUGUAGGGCUGGCCUAAACAAGUGGCAAUGAGGAUUGGGUCCUACGCAACGAAAAGUUAUGAAUCCCGUCAGGUCUGGAAGGAAGCAGCGGUAAGUGAUGUCUUUCGUGUGCCGCAGGGAAGCCUAGUCUGAGUUAACUAUUUAGGUAACGCUUAUGAAGGCAAGUCGAAUAGAGGUGCACAG